rnacentral:rRNA from 1 species
ACGAACGCUGGCGGCAGGCUUAACACAUGCAAGUCGAACGGGAAGUGGUGUUUCCAGUGGCGAACGGGUGAGUAAUGCGUAAGAACCUGCCCUUGGGAGGGGAACAACAGCUGGAAACGGUUGCUAAUACCCCAUAGAAUUUAGUACCUCUACGAGGUAGGCUGAGGAGCAAAAGGGAGGAAUCCGCCCAAGGAGGGGCUCACGUCUGAUUAGCUAGUUGGUGAGGCAAUGGCUUACCAAGGCUCCGAUCAGUAGUUGGUCUGAGAGGAUGAUCAGCCACACUGGGACUGAGACACGGCCCAGACUCCUACGGGAGGCAGCAGUGAGGAAUUUUCCGCAAUGGGCGAAAGCCUGACGGAGCAAUGCCGCGUGAAGGAAGAAGGCUCACGGGUCGUAAACUUCUCUUCUCGGAGAAGAAUAAAUGACGGUAUCUGAGGAAUAAGCAUCGGCUAACUCU